GCGCCAUUAGCUCAGUUGGAUAGAGCAGGGGUCUUCUAAACCCAAGGUCGACGGUUCGAACCCGCCAUGGCGCACCA
rnacentral:tRNA from 1 species